AUUGAACGCUGGCGGCAUGCCUUACACAUGCAAGUCGAACGGCAACGGGCCCUUCGGGGUGCCGGCGAGUGGCGAACGGGUGAGUAAUGCAUCGGAACGUACCCGGGAGAGGGGGAUAACCGGCCGAAAGGCUGGCUAAUACCGCAUGAACUCGGAAGAGCAAAGCGGGGGACCUUCGGGCCUCGCGCUCUCGGAGCGGCCGAUGUCCGAUUAGGCUAGUUGGUGGGGUAAAGGCCCACCAAGGCGACGAUCGGUAGCGGGUCUGAGAGGACGAUCCGCCACACUGGGACUGAGACACGGCCCAGACUCCUACGGGAGGCAGCAGUGGGGAAUCUUGGACAAUGGGCGCAAGCCUGAUCCAGCAAUGCCGCGUGGGUGAAGAAGGCCUUCGGGUUGUAAAGCCCUUUCGGCGGGGAAGAAAUCGGUCAGGCGAAUAGUCUGGCCGGAUGACGGUACCCGCAGAAGAAGCACCGGCUAACUACGUG
rnacentral:rRNA from 1 species